rnacentral:lncRNA from 1 species
GAACUACCACCAUAAAAUGAACCCGUAUCAUCCCACCUGCCCCCCCCCCCCCCCCCCCCCCCCCCCGCCGGUCGCCCCAAAUCAUUUCCAUUUUCUCCCCCAAACCAGAAAGCAAGACGAGAAACCUGCCGCUCUUUCCGCAUCUCUUCAUCUCCGAAUUUCUGGGCCCACGACCGGGAAAUCAAGCACAGGCUCAUCUAUUCCAGAACAUCCUUCUACCCAAGAACGACGCUGGCAACUGAAUCCGAAGGUGGAAACAGAAUUUGAAGUCAGUGCCGAUAUCUAUGCGUCUGAGCUGGGCAAAGGUAUUUUGAUAUAUACUGUUUUACGCUAAUUUCUCGUUAAGCUAUCUUAGGCUUCCCCAAUUGAUUUGGGUUUUUUUCCUCUGUAUUUUGACAUAUAUUUGAAGUAUGAACAUUAUGGAGCCUUACCAUUGAUGAGGUUGAAGGUUUUGAUAUCAUGUUUGUCGUAAAUUUCUGAGUUUGUUCAUACAUUGAUGAAUUUUCAUAAAUUUUGGGGCAAAAAAACUUUUCGAUUCCUAAUUAAAUAAUGGCACGGCUUGCUCAAUUUUUUAUUGUUCUUCAAAUUAUUGGAAUGUUAUUGAAAUGGCAUUUUGCUUGUUGCUUGUAAAUAGGGUAGCUCAUACAUGAAAACUUUAGAAAUCGUAUUAUCCCUUAAUUUCGUUUCAACAAUUUUCUAGGGAAAGUUUGCUAAAUUUGAAAUCUACCAUUUUCAUUCUCUGUUUAUAUUGUGGAAAGAUUGUUGAAUUUGUAGAAGAAAUUAUCCUGAUUUUAUGGAAUUUGUAUUUGCAAGACAGCGGUAAAUGAAUGUUAGUGAAAUACAAUGAAGCUGUUGCUUUGUUUGCAAUGUACUGCUGUUCAUACGCUCCAAUGUGAGAUUUCGUAAUUCAACUGGAUUAAUUUGGGUUUAUUUGUUUCUUGAAUAGUGAUUGACUAGAAUGAGAGGAAGGAAUUUCGGAGUUUGUCACGGCUGUAGAAGUAAUGCUCACUACUUUGGACAAUGCCAAACAAAACAUGGAUGCCCUUCAUCUAAAUGCGGAUUUCGGAAAUAUUUUGAGGUAGAACAGAAUACUGAAAACAAAGGGCAGUAGUUCUUCACGUGUAGUAAUGACUGGAUAUUUCGAUUGGGUGAAAAAUGAAGAUUUAAGUAGGGAGUCGAGUAUCGUUAAUGAGGAGGUGAACCAUGAGUCGAAGGAGGAAUAUGAAGACUUGCCAAGACUCUUCGACACCCUAGCUCGAAUUACCGAGGAACGAGAUGUCCACGUAACAUUGCACGUAACAUUUUGCAAAGGAAAAGGAAUUGUAGAAUGCGAUGGGAAGGGGAAGGCACCGACGUGAACGAGUGAUGUCAAUUUGUAAUUGCUACAUGCUUUGUUCGUACCAUAACAACUUCGUUGUCGUUGUAGGCUUGAAUGUUAAAUGCUUAAUUUUGUCAACGUCGUUUGAGCAUUGGACAUAUUUCUAAUAUUUUGCGGAUUGUUGUAAUAUAUUAAACGUUUGGAUAUAUGUUUCUUGUGAUGGUUUAUCUUGCGACUCGUUGUAAUAUAUUACCGGUUUGGAUAUAUGUUUCGUAUGUGUUGGUCAAAUUUUCA